GGGGAUGACGUCAAGUCCGCAUGGCCCUUAUGGGCUGGGCCACACACGUGCUACAAUGGCAAUGACAAUGGGAAGCAAGGCUGUAAGGCGGAGCGAAUCCGGAAAGAUUGCCUCAGUUCGGAUUGUUCUCUGCAACUCGGGAACAUGAAGUUGAAAUCGCUAGUAAUCGCGGACCAGCAUGCCGCGGUGAAUAUGUACCCGGGCCU
rnacentral:ncRNA from 1 species